GCAUUGGAAAAACAGCCACUCUUCUACACCUAUCAGAGGAACAAGAUGGACAGUUCAGAGGACAGAGUGGAAGAAACACAGCACAAGCCCAAUCCACCAGGAGAGGACAGACUCACCUGUACCCAGCUGUACGUCCAUGCAGAGUGAUCAUUCUAUGGAUUUUCCAUUACAAUUUAGAGACUUCCCAAUUGCUCAAAGAUACCAACAGGAGAGAUUAAAGUCAGAGAUUCCCAGUUAUCAGAGUCAAACAGAUCUGUCCUUCAUAUUUAAGUCGCUUGAAGACAACAUCAUCACUUUUGUGAAGAGAGAACUGAAGAGAUUCAAGAACAUUUUGAGUCCAGAUCUUCCAGAAUGCAUUGAGAAUUAGGAGGAUGAAGAAUUAGUGGAUGCCAAAGAAGUGAGGCAGGACAGCAGUGCCAGAGAGGGGGCUCUGAAGAUCACACUGCAAAUUCUGAGGAACAUGGAUGGACCAACAGGAGCUCGCUGACACACUGGAGAAAAGUAAGGGUUCUCUGAUAGUCUUUACAAUCUUUUAUGUCCACAAGGCAGACACUUUCAUUACAGGAAUCAUGAGGAUAAUGCACUUAACUGUUUGACCAAAUUAUGGUUUUAGCUGUCCAAACAUAUGAAGUUUUGAUUGAGGUGACAAUGUAGAAUGUGCUCUUCAUACAUUUAUAGGCACCCUUUUAAAAAAUGUACGAUCCAUGAUCUUGGCUGUCUAACUGAUGACUGUGGCCGUUGACUUCCUAUUAGCCAAAGGAUCAUUAUAGAUAAGUAUAACAAAGAAAUUGCGCAGAAAUAAAAAAUAUAUAAUUUUAUCAGGCCCACGGGUCGCCGGCUAUGUCACCAUUUUCAUUGUUUUAUUUUAUGUAAAAAAUUAUAUAUUUUUGUGUGUGUCAAUUUUGACCAGCCCACCUACCAAAAAUGGUCUAGCCCAUUUGGCAAUU